GUCUAUGGCCAUGCCACCCUGAACGUGCCCGAUCUCGUCUGAACUCGGAAGCUAAGCAGGGUUGGGUCUGGCUAGUACUUGGAUGGGAGGCCACCUAGGAAGACCAGGUGCCGUAGGCG
rfam:Pteropus alecto contig6182, whole genome shotgun sequence.